AGGUUCUUGUUUAUAUAGGAAAACCCACUGAACUGAAGCAUCUCAAUAAGUGGAGGAAAAUAAACUAACUAGGAUACUCUUAGUAAGUGCGACCGAAGAGAGUAAAGCUCAAUAAUCUAAACUUUAAAUUUUUAAUUUAAAGUCAUGUGAUUUUCUAAACUCAUUGAAAUUUUUAUAAAUUAUGAUUGAAUUCAUAACUAUAAAGAGUUAUAGUCUCGUUAUAUUGAAAUUUCAAGCAUGGGAAUUAGAAUUAAAGAGUCGGGUAGCUUGAGAAUGCUGCCUUAAUAUAGGUGGUACACCCCAUCUAAAGCUAAAUAUUGUAAAGAGACCGAUAGCAUACAAGUAGUGUGAACGAAAGAUGAAAAGAACUCCUAAACGGAGAAUUAAAAGCGCCUGAACUUGUCUAGGUUUUCGCAUUUCUUUAAUGCGCCCGUCUUGAAACACGGAUUAGGGAGUUUUACUUAAAUACGAGUCUUUAACUUUUAAAGUAAUUUUUUUAAAAAAGGCGAAAAGAAAUUAACUGGUUUUUUAACAUGGCUAUAGAGUAUUUAAGUCAAAACCCGAAUGGAGGUGAACUAUUCCUGCAAAGAUUGAAGUCAGGGGAAACUCUGAUGGAAGAUCGUUGGCGUUAUUGAUGUGCAAAUCAUUUGCUUUAUGUAGGUAUAGGUGCGAAAGACUCAUCGAACCUCCUAAUAGCUGGUUUCCUCCGAAGUUUCCCUCAGGAUAGCUGUAACAUUUUUAAAUAGUUAAGGAUAGUAGAGAAAUGGGUAGAGGUGUAGUGGAACUACGGUUCUGCAACUUAUUUCCAAACUUCGAACGUUCUUGAUAUAAAAAAUUACCUAAUAGGAAUUUUUUAUUUAAAUAUAUGUUAUAAGUGGGCUCUGACCGGUAAGCGGUCAUGGCGAAAAGGGAUGAACCUAACGUAUAAAUAAGGUGCCUAAAUUUACUAACAAUGAAACCAUUAAAAGAGUCCAUGUAUUUAGACAGCGGGUCGGUGCCCCUAAAAGCAGGUAUCCGUUAAUGAGUGUGUUAAAACUCCCCCGCCGAAUACUCUGGCCUUGAAAAUGAAUGGCGCAUAUAGUAAUACCGAUAUUAUACAUUAAAAUUAUUUCAAAAUUUUAAAAGUAGGGGGAUGUGGAUAUCUUAGAGAAUUUUUAAUUGUAAAAUUGAAUUGAAAGAUAUCUAUUACAGAUCCUAAUUGAAGUAGCGAUUAUCCAGGUUAAUCUCCUGGGGGCUGAUGAGGAGUAGGGUUUCUGGGCAACUUAAACGGACCCAGAGUUAGUCGAUCCUAAUCAAAUUAAAUUUAGAGAAAGGGAAUAUGAAUGAUAUUUCAUAACUAAAAUUAAUUUUUAAAUGGUGACAUUUUUUUAAACUUAUUUCCAUCAAUUAAAUACUGUUUAAUAGGGAUUUCUUUCCUAUAUAACUUUUUAAUUAAAACUUAAGAAACAGGUUAACUGGAGAAUAAAGUUUUAAUUUAGUAAAAUUAUAAUUUCGAUUAUAAUAACGGCUAUUUAAAUGAUCCAUGAAACAAUAAGUUUAUUUUUUCAAAAAUUAAUUUAAUCGUACCGAUAACCGCAUCAGGUCUCCAAGGUGAGUAGCUUCUGGCCAUUGAGUAAUGGUAAUUUAGGGAAUUCGGCCAAUUAGAGCUGUAACUUCGGGAUAAAGCUUGGCUCUGAUGGAAAUCAGAACCGAUAGUUACAAGGAGAGCCCAACUGUUUAAUAAAAACUUAGUGUCGCGUCAUACCUUUAUAAGUAAUAAACGUGACAUGAAUCCUGCUCAGUGCUGUGUUUGUUAAACUGGAUUAAUCCAUUUAAGCGCCGGUAAAUAGCUGGGGUAACUAUGACUCUUAUCAAAGUAGCGAAAUACCUCGUCACUUAAUUAGUGACCUGCAUGAACGGAGCUAUGAGGUUCUCACUGUCCCAAAUUAUCACUCAGCGAACCAACAGUUGUGGGAACGGGCACAAAUUAUCCAGCGGGGAAAGAAGACCCUGUAGAGCUUCACUUUGGUCUAAUCUUGUAUAGUUUCGUUAGGGGUGCAGUCUAGGUGGGAGAUUUUUAAUCAAAUAUGAGAAACCACUACCCUUUCUGGAAUUAUACUUACUAAAAUUCUUUUCUAAAUUUUAGGAUCGGAUUAGAUAGAAAGUUUGGCUGGGGCGGCACACCUUCGAAAAAGCAGCGAAGGUGUCCUAAGUUAAGCUCAGUAAGGACAGAAAUCUUACGUUGAGGAUAAGGCCAAAAGCUUAAUUUACUGUGCCUUUUUGUACUAGGAUCAGUUUGGAAACAAAGGCCUAACGAUCCCUAAUUAGUCUUAGGUGUGUAAGACUUGGGGUGAUGCCGGUGAUGGUACAACAACUGCUACUAUCCUGACUCAGGCUAUCGUAACA
rnacentral:rRNA from 1 species